rnacentral:misc_RNA from 1 species
AACGCACCUUGCACCUUUUUCUCUCGGGGAAAAGGUCUGCCUGGGUGAGUAUCGAUUUCUUCUCUUCUCAACCCGCUUUGUGUUGAGAGACAUGAACUCUUCGCUGAUGCCUGGCAACGGUGUGAGUUUGAAAGGCAAGACGCCCUAGUGCGGGAGACGCAGGUCUCCUCGACACGCAAUGCAGGCUGGUCAUGAUUUGCUCGGAUCCACACUCGGGUUCGUCGUCCGUCUUGGCCCUUGGAUGUCUGCAUCCAGCGUGUUACCCACCGGCUCUAAUGGAGGCUGUGGUUCUGCUCUGUGGCAGUAAAUCGGCCCAACCCUAACCAACCUUUUUAUCGAUCUCACCUCAGGUAGGAGUACCCGCUGAACUUAA